CAAACAGGAGGAUGAGGCGAUGUACGCACGUGUCGCAGGAAAAGCUGUUUAAACUCUUUAAUGAUACGGUGAUUACAGUGAUUUUACACAAAUGCUAGUAAGAUGGAUAUAGCAACAAAGCUGUUAAACAUGCAAAAGUGUGGUUUGGUUUAUAUGAUGUUUCAGAGAAGUGCUUUCCACAAAAAAACUGCUUUUUUUAAGUGCAUGUAAACAGGGUCACUAUUAAUAAAUAUAUUAAUAGUGACAUUAUAAUAAAAAUAUUAUAUAGGACCCUUACUGCUCUGUUAAAAAACAAUUAGGUUUGUCUUCCUUUAAAGAGAUAGUUCACCCAAAAACAAAUGUUUGCUGUUAAUUUAUUCACCCUGAUAUCAUUCAAGAUGAAGGUGACACUUUUUUCCUUCAGUAGAAUGGUAAAGAAGAUUUUAAGCUGAUACUGUUGUCUUUGGUCAUUCAUGUAAUGCAAGUCAGCAGCUACCAGCAAUUGCAAGUCUAAAAAAACAAUCAUAUGCAGGUUAGACAAAAGAAAUAACCAAUAUUGAGAGGUCUUAUGAAGUGAAACGAUCGGUGUGUGUAAAAAACGGAACAUUUUACAAUAUUAUUACCUCAACUUGAAACAAACAGUCCCGAGUGACGUCCGGUUCGUGACUGAAUCAUUCUUUUGAACUGUUUUUUAAAAUUGAACUGAAUCAUGAACCAGUUCACCAAAUCAGACUGAACCAUCUGUAACCUAAUUAAAGUUUUUAUACUUUCGUAUGGUUUCUGUAACAAUGUGAGCUGAUGAAGACUAAUUUAUUCACCUGCUUAAGACAUCAUCAUAUUGGGUUUUAAUAAUAUAAUUGCAUGUAUGGUAUGUCAAUGCAUGAUUAUGUAAAGAAACUAUAGUGAACCAGUUUAUUGAAAUGAACCGUCAGAAAGAACCAGUUUGCAGAAAAAGAAUCAGAUUUCCCCAUUUACCUCAAUUUCUGCAAAUAAUUUAAACACAAUAAUUUAAUUCUUGCACAAACUGAUCGUUUCACUUCAUAAGACCUCAAAAUAUCGUCAGGAGUCAAAGGUAUUAAUUUUGUGCUCCUUUUAUGAAUCAACAAGGAGCACAUUUUCAGCUAAAAUCUUUUGCUGUUCUGCUGAAGAAAAAAAGUCACCUCUCUUGGAUGGACUGAGGAUGAGUAAAUUAACAGCAAAUGUCAUUUUUGAGUGAACUGUUCCUUUAAGUGCAUGUAAGCUCUGAACAGCAAUAUUACCACUUUAUUCAAAUGUUUUUAUUUGUGUUGUAUGCAAUUUAGAUUUCUGUUAAUGUCAUUUAGAUCAUUUUUAAUGAUAUGCUUAUUGUGAUCCUACAUGUUAAUGUGUGUUUCAAUUAAACUAGAGGUCAAAGGGUAAAACAUAAUCACACAGAGAGAAAGUAUUAGAAAUAGAUAAAAAAUAACUCAUCUACAUGUGUAUAGACAUUUAUCUUACAUGGACAUGUAUUGUACAAAGCCACUUCAUUUGUUCCAGCAGCUUAUUUUCUCAAUUCUCUCAGUGCAUUCAUAUCAAAAGUCAUAUUUAAAAAGCAGACAGCCAUUCUGAGAGUCAAAUUAAAACCACUGAGAAAAUUUUAGCAAAAAAAAUCAAUUUUUUAUAUUAGCAGUAAACUUACGAUAUCGCUAUCUUUUUAUAGUAACAAAAACACAGUCAUUUCACAGAAGGCCUCGUUUAAUAUCUGGAAAGAGAUGUGGUUUUAUUUGUUUAGCUAGACAGCAUGUGCAUGAAAAUGUGUCUAUACCAGACGUCUGUGUUUAAUGUAUGUUAGAGUGCACAUGUCUUGAGGUGUCAAUAGUUUUGGUUAAUAGCAUGUGCAUCCACAAUUUGCAUUCCUCUUUAUGUGAAACCGUUUUACUGCAAAAUAAAGUACAUAUAUGAAUGCUAA